UGCCUCUUUUUUUUUUUUCUUUCUUCAGUAAGACAAAUACAUCUUGAACUAGGCUGGCCUUGCCGCUACCCAAGGAGACUCCGGAGCACCGAAGGUUUUGUUGACAGUCGCCCCGGAAGAAGUUGGGAGAGACGCACAAGCUUCACAGCCCCCGAAGAAGAAGAUGACUAUCUGGUAGCAUCAAGUCAGCUGAAGGUCAUCAGACCUACCAGCACCCUCUCAGCAAUGUACCCACUCCGCCCCCCCUCCACAGCUUUCCCGCUUUCAUCACCCUUGAAGCCUGAUCUUGAAAAGAUAUGACAUUGACAGACACAUAAACCAGCGGCCUUCUAUCUGGCACUCCCUCCCACUGCCCUCCAGUCCUCCAACUAAUGGGUCUUUGCCAAUAAUAAACGAGCGAGAAUCACA